ACUUUCGUCGAGUCAAGGACACACGCUUCGGUUUAUUUAUAGCUCCAACGUUUUCCCAUUAGCCAAAGAGUUUCCAGAAAGCUUUCAAUCCCAGAAUGCAACAUAUCCGCGUGUUUUGUCACCCGCGGUCACAGAAUUCUACAGUCUACAAUGUGCCCGCGGUCAACACAUCUCCGAAGCUCCGGGUUUUCGUAAGCUUCUGUCACUUGAAAAAGGGGGAAGAAUAACUGAAAUUCUUCAGCUUUGACAAUGUUUCAACUGAUAUACAGUGCAGCUUUGCUAAUCUAUGAAGGCCCAGCUGACAACUGAUAAGUUUGACUCUUGACUGUAAAUCCUCAAGCCUGAAUGUCAGGUCAACUACAGUGGCCCCUCUUGGUAAAGAGAGCAAAGCGUGUCAUAUGGGGUUGCUCACUCCAGAACAAGAUGAGGAACACCUCACUCAUUGGUGAUGGAGAUUCAAAAUCAUCCCCACUGUAUUAGGCCCUCAACCCCUAUGAUUCUAUACUCAGAAGGAGGUGAUGUGUGUCAUCCAUGUGGCAAAAGAUCUCAGCUCUGUACUUUGCAAAAUCUAAGAGCCAUCGAGAAAAAGAGAGGUGUAACGCUUGGAGAGAGAGCCUUUGGCAUACUAACUCAGGUUUUUUUCUCUUCUAUUCUUUUCAACCAGGAGAAGAUUGGAUGUCUCCAGUCCUAUUACACAAAACCUCUGAGGUUGUUCAACUCUUUCCACUGCUAAUGUAAGAAGCAGUGGUGGCCACGUUGCUGCACAGCACCAGCACAGAUGGAAACCCACAUCAUGACAGAUGCCCGCCUACUAGUGAAAACAACUGGUGCUUUUACAGUACAUGUAUAACACAGACAGGUCAAACACAGAAGACUCAAAAUCACGCAUGCAUCUGUAGUACUGUGCCUGCGGUCCCGGGUUUUUUUUUCCUUCUUUAUCUUUUAAAGAUAUCCUUCGGACUACAGAUCCCUAGAACUACGGAUGCCUCGAACUACUGAGGCCAGUUCCAACGAAUUCAAGCUAUCUGUGUUAUACUGUACUUUUACAAAAGGCAUUACAGCCAAAGAAGCACAGCACCAUCACACAAGGGAAGGCUUUCUACCCACCUCAAACCCCCUCAUUUAUGAAGCCUGUGCACCACAGAUGAACUAAUGGAGAUCAAGUACGCGCCUGGCGUGACACAAAAAUAGAAUGGGAGUUUCCAUAAGUUCACACCUGGUUGAAGGGCCCUAAGACGGUCUUUGUGACCAAACCAAGAGUAGAAGCAGCCUUUGCUAUCACUACUGCAGACUGGAAUUUGGGGGCCCUUAGCACCCAUACGCUUAUGCCAUUUCUAAAAUUGCAGGUCUCAGCCCGAACCAUGGACAGUGGCAUCAGAAGGGACUGUACCCAAAUAUAGAGGGCAGAGACUAACAUAGAGGGUGCAGCUAGAAAAACAGGAAAGGAACCAUCUUUUAGAGGAGGAAAAUUGGACCGGCAGAUGUCUCUACUGCCCAGGAAGAGGGACUGAUUAGGAAUAAAAAAGUCCUUCAGCAAUU